CUCCUGUGAAUAUAUAUAUGCAUACACGAGUAUAGUGAAAAAAAAAAUAACGAGAAAAAAUGUAAUACAUGCAUAUAU
rnacentral:ribozyme from 1 species